rnacentral:rRNA from 1 species
GGAAGUAAAAGUCGUAACAAGGUUUCCGUAGGUGAACCUGCGGAAGGAUCAUUCACAAUUAAUACGAUCACCAUGUGAACCCGCUAAUGGCCCUGCCAUUGGCAAUCACACAUACCGGUCUGCUUGGUAUGUGGCUGUGCAAACAGUUGCAGACAACUUGUGGUGGUUAUAUCCUAAGAUAUUCAUAAGCUCUAUACACUAUUAGCGGUGGAUGUCUUGGCUCCCACAACGAUGAAGGCCGCAGCAAAAUGCGAAACGCACUGUGAUUAGCGGAAUUCUGUGAAUCAAUAGGUCGCUGAACGCAAACGGCACUACUGCGUGAGCAGUAGUAGGUCUGUUUCAGUCUCAAUUGCAAUCUCACCAAACAAUUUGUAUUAAGGUACAAGUUGCUAUUGGUGAGGUAAUGUGCUGCUCGAUACGUCUGGCAGUCGCAGUGUUCUAUAACAGUUCGUUAGGUUAACAUAUUGGUCCUACCUAUGUUGCUGAAGAACUACCAAGUUAUAGCGUACUAUACCCUAUGAGCUGAAAUCAGACCAGGCUACCCGCUGGACUUAAGCAUAUUAGUCAGCGGAGGA